rfam:Xenopus laevis strain J chromosome 3L, whole genome shotgun sequence.
GCCUAAAUAGCUCAGUCGGUAGAGCGCACAGCUCUGGACCAUGACUUAAUCCAGAAGGUUGUGGGUUUGAUUCCCACCUCUGCCA